rnacentral:lncRNA from 1 species
GGCAACCUGCUUGGGUCCCUUUCCACACCGCGGAAGCUUUGUUCUUUUGCUCUUUGCAAUAAAUCUUGCUGCUGCUCACUCUUUGGGUCCACACUGCCUUUAUGAGCUGUAACACCGCGAAGGUCCACAGCUUCACUCCUGAGCCAGCGAGACCACGAACCCCACCAGAAGGAAGAAUCUGUGAACACAUCCGAACAUCAGAAGGAACAAACUCUAGACAUGCCGCCUUUAAGAACUGCAACACUCACUGCGAGUGUCCGCGGCUUCAUUCUUGAAGUCAGUGAGACGAAGAACCCACCAAUUCCAGACACAUUUUGGCGACCUAGAUGGGACAAUCGCCUAUCACCGAGUGGUGAGACCAUCGCCUAUAGCUGAGCGGCGAGACAAUCACCUAUCGCCAAGCAAUUACCUACCACUUCCAGGGUCAGAGCCCUUCACUUCAUAUUCAUGAGGAGACGGGGAAUUGGAAUAUACCCGCAGCCGACAAUCUCAGUGUGAAAUACUGGUUUACUGUUUGGAGAACAAUAGACAAUGAUCAACAACUGAAGAGCUGAGCUGGUCUUCAUCCUGUGCCAAAGGAAUGCGGUGUUUUUCACUGCUUUUUAAAAUAAGUAAUUUUCCUCUGGAUUAAAGCACCGAAGGCUUAACCCUGACCUUGUGUUAAGAAGGAAGUUGGGGUGGGAACUGGAAUUGAAUGCAGCAAAUUUCAUCCAACAGUGGAGAGAGGGUUAAAGAGAAAACUACCAAGGAGGCUUAUAUUUAGAGCUUGAUAGGUUUGUUAAAAUAUCCUGACUUUACCCUUUUUAUGUAUCUGUCUUUCACCUAGUGUGCUUUUUGUGUGCACACUAUUCACCAAGCUUUGUUCAAAUUGCAAGGGAUAAGAAAGGACUGAGAAAGUGACUGGUGGAUGAGAAAAACAAAAUAUCUUGGUUAGAUCAGUACAGCUUUCCUUCCAAGAGUUUGCAUCUAUUAUCUCUACCUCUCUGAAAAAUCAUAACAGAAAUAAAGGCAUAUUUUUCCUACUAUUAAGAAAACAAAGGUAGGGCUGGCGCAAUGGCUCAAGCCUGUAAUCUCAACACUUUGAGAGGCUGAGGCGGGUGGAUCAUCUGAGGUCAGGAGUUCAAGACCAGCCUGGCCAACAUGGUGAAACCCCAUCUGUACUAAAAAUACAAAAAUUAGCUGGCAUAGUGCUGGGCACCUGUAAUCCCAGCUACUCUGGAGGCUGAGGAAGGAAAAUCACUUGAACCUGGGAGACGGAGGUUGCAGUGAGCCGAGAUCGUUCCACUGCACUCCAGCCUGGGUGACAAAGUAAGACUCUGUUUCAAAAAAAAAAAGAAAGAAAGAAAGAAAGAAAGAAAGAAAGAAAGAAACUAGCAGUCCAGGUUCCAAAGAGGUUUCUUGGCACCCCCUUGUGGAUAUGGUUUUUUUUCCCUCUAGUGCUUUUGAUCUAAGUGCAUCAAAAAAUCUGGGCAUUAGACGUUUUUUCCAGUCACAUAGAAGCAGCAUAAAAUCAUAUUUACUAGAGUUCCUGGGAUGAUUGGGAAGAGAAUAACAUUGUUGGUUGAGCAUUCAUUGAGCAUCUCUUAUGUGGCAGGCACUGUGCUUGAUGUUUUAAAAGGUUCACUCUGGCUGCUGUGUUGUAAAUAGGUGGUAAAGGGUGUGGAGGAGAUAGAGAUGAGUUCUGAAGCCAUUUCCACCAUCCAGGUAAGAGAUAAUGAUGACUCGGAUCAUGAUGGUAGUAGCAGCAGAGGUGGUAAAAGGAAGCUGGAUACCAAACACCGCAUAUUCUCACUCAUAGGUGGGAAUUGAACAAUGAGAUCACAUGGACACAGGAAGGGGAACAUCACACUCUGGGGACUGUUGUGGGGUGGGGGGAGCGGGGAGGGAUAGCAUUGGGAGAUACACCUAAUGCUAGAUGACGAGUUAGUGGGUGCAGAGCACCAGCGUGGCGCAUGUAUACAUAUGUAACUAACCUGCACAAUGUGCACAUGUACCCUAAAACUUAAAGUAUAAUAAUAAAAGAAAAAAAAAAGGAAGCUGGAUUUGGGAUAUAUUUUGAAGCUUGUGCCAACAGGAUUGGUGGCAGAUUGGAUGUGGGUAUAAGAGAAAGAGAGAAGUCAAAGACGACAUCAUUUGGGCCCGAGAAACUGGGAGAAUAAAAUUGUCAUUAACAGAAAUGAGCAAGUCAGCUGAAUGAGCAGGGUUGGGAGAAGAGGAAUGAUAUGGUCAGUUUCGAAUGUGCUAAGUUUUGAAAUACCUUUUAGAAAUCCAAGUGGAGAUGUCAACUAGGCAGCUGGAUAUACAAAUAUGAAGUUCAAGGAAGAGGUCUGGGUGACAUAUAAAUGUGACAGUUGUCAGCAUAUAAAUGGUAUUUAAACCCAUGAGACACUAAGGAAAUGCAUGUUGAUAGAAAAGAGACCCAAGGACUAAAUCCUGGGCAGCCCAGGACUGAGUUUAGGGACAUGAGAGGAAGGCAGAAAGGAUACUGAGAAAUGGCCAGUGAGCCAGAAAUGAAGAUCAGGAGCUUAUUCUCAAAGGUGACUUUCUAAGAAGAAGAAGGCGUGAUCAACAAAGUUAAAUGCUGCCAAAGGGCACAUCAUACGAAAGAACUGAGAAUCGGCUAUUGGGUUGAGCAACGUGGAGGUCACUGGUGGCCUUCAUAAGAGGAGCUUUCUUGGUGAGUUAGAGAUGAGAUGAGAGUCCAUCUGCAGUGGAUUCAUGAGAGAAUGGGAGGAGAGAAAUUGGAAAUAGAUGAGGUAACUCUUUUGGAGAGUUUUGCUGUAAAGGAGGGCAGAGAAAUGGGGCAGCAGCUAGAGGAAAAGUAGAAGUCAAGGGACAAAAAUUAAUGGAAAAAAUGGUAGCAUAUUUGUAUACUGUUGUGGGAAGGGGUAUGAGGGAGGGUAGGUAGGUAUUUACCAUAAAGGAGAUAAAGGAGAGGAUUGCUGGCACAGGCUCCUUGAGUAGGUGAGAAAGGGUGGGAGUGUGUGAACAGAUGGAGGAGCUUACCUUAGAUAGCAGCAGGGCAGGUCAGUGUCAGCAACAGAACAGAAGGAGAACAUAGCAAUGGGCUUGGAGGUGGUUAGCGGGAACUUCUGAUUAUUAUACUUCUGUUUUCUCAGGGAAACAGGAGGCAAUUUUAUCAGCUGAGAAUGAGGAUGGGGAGAGGGUGUUAAAGGUUUAAAGGAAGAGAGGAGAAGUUCAAACAGUUGGCUUGGAAAGUGGGAGAAUGAACAGACUAGAGAAAUGUGGCAGGUGCUGAGGGACCACUUGAGUCUGUGACCGUGAAUGGAUAGUGAGACUGGACAGGAGACUUGGGUAUUUUUCCUAGUAAGGUUCAGUGGCAGAGGUGUAGCCAGCAAGUAGGAAGAAAGCUGGAGUCAACCAGGAUUGGGACUUUGCCAGGCAGAUACCAUGAAGAGAGGGAUGGGCAAAGGAUUCAAGAAUGUAUGCAAGUGAAUGGUUAUAAUGAUGGACUGUGGAACUUAAGCUGAGUAAGGAGGGAAGUAAGGACGUGAGGGAGUGUGAGAAAUAGUAAAAGAGGCACUGGAUUUGUAAAUUGUGUGUCCCAGUGUGGCUGAAAAAUUACUGGUUUUAGGUAACACACAGAGUGAGCUAGAAAGAGAGGAAGUAGUGAUUGAGAAGUGUGAUGCUGGAAUUUGAGAUUUUAGAGAUGUUUCAGGAAUAGGCGAAGAAAAAGUCUGGAGGUGUGUUAUGGGCUGAUCAUGUCUCUCCUAAAUGCACAUGUUGAAGUUCUAACCCCCCAUAAUCUCAAACGUGACUGUAUUUGGAUAGGGCCUUUAAAGUGAUGAUGAAGUUAAAAUGAGGACAGCAUGGUGGGGAUAAUCCAAUCAGAUUAUAAAAAGAGGGAAUUUGGACACACAAAGAGAUUCCAGGGGUGCAAAGAGAAAAGACUGUGUGAGGACACAGUGAGAAGUGGCUAUCUGCUAGCCAAAGAGAGAAAGGCCCCAGGAGAAACCAAUCUGCCAACACAGAUUUGGCACAUAAUUUACAAAUCUGCUUUGAGAUUUGGCACAUAACUUACAAAUCUGCUUUGACCUUGGAAUUCUGGCCUCCAGAACUGUGAGAAAAUAAAUGUCUUUUGUUCAAGUCACCCAGUCUGUGGUGUUUUGUUAUGUCAGUCCUAGCAGACUGACACAAGUUGUGAUCCUAGGAGUGAGUAGUGUAGGGAGGUGGAGGACAAGAUGACUGGUGAAAAGGAAUGGAAAGGGAAGUGUAUUGGAAUUAUCAUUUAUAAUGAAUACUAAAAUAAAAAAUUAGACAAUGUCAGUUUGGGAGAGAAUGACUACAUUUAGAAAGCCAGGUGCUAGACUCUUCAAGGAAUGAAAGAAAAUAAGCUUGAGGGAGGAUUUAGAACUAGAAAUACCAUUUGACCCAUCCAUCCCAUUACUGAGUAUAUGCCCAAAGGAUUAUAAAUCAUGCUGCUAUAAAGACACAUGCACAUGUAUGUUUAUUGUGGCACUAUUCACAAUAGCAGACUUGGAACCAACCCAAAUGCCCAUCAAUGGUAGACUGGAUUAAGAAAAUGUGGCACAUAUACACCAUGGAAUACUAUGCAGCCAUAAAAAAGGAUGAGUUCAUGUCCUUUGUGAGGACAUGGAUGAAGCUGGAAACCAUAAUUCUCAGCAAACUAUAGCAAGGACAGAAAACCAAACACUGCAUGUUCUCACUCAUAGGUGGGAACUGAACAAUGAGAACACUUGGACACAGGAAGGGGAACAUCACACACCAGGGCCUGUCGUGGGGUGGGGGACAGGGGGAGGGAUAGCAUUAGGAGAUAUACCUAAUGUAAAUGACGAGUUAAUGGGUGCGGCACACCAACAUGGCACAUGUAUACAUAUGUAACAAACCUGCACGUUGUGCACAUGUACCCUAGAACUGAAAGUAUAAUAAUAAAAAAUAAACUAAUUACUUAAUAAAUUUUUAAAAAAAGAAAGUAACCUUGAGGGGGACUGAACUGCAGGUGGGAGAUGGAAAUAUCAUCUAGCAUUGAAAUUUACAGUUUCUUAAUCCAAUAGUCACCACUCCCCUUCCCAGUGAUUUUUAAGCAGAAUUUAAAAAAAAAUGAAAAUGUUUGAUUUGGCUCUUCGUUUUCCUCGAUGUGAAACCUUCUCUCAUAGAGGUUCUAACAGGCACUGAAACGAGAAUUAAGAAAGGGUGGGAGCAGAAUAAUCGCUGAAGGGGGUCAUUGGCUACCAGGAAACCCAGAAGUAGCUGUGUUCUACUAGACAUACUUGCAAGGUUCUAAGGAGGUUUAACUUAAUUGAGAUUUGACUUUAAAAAAAACUUUUUAUUGUCAAUAUUUUGCUCUUUGGAGAGCAGUGACUAAGAUUACAUUUUGUUAAUGUUUGUGGGGAGCAGAAUCAUUGAGCAUUGUCUGCUUUGUAAAAGUGCUGUGGCUCCCAGGAAUCUUCAGUGUCAGUGAAGUGAGCUGUCACUCUCAGUCAGGGUCUCCUUCCAAUUAACUACGAUAAAUUGACAUCUAUUGAGUAUCUUCUAUGUGGAGGCGCUGUGCUAGAAGUUUUCACAUGCAUUAAAAACAAAAAGCCGAAAAAUGAAUUCUUACAAUAACACUAAGGUAAAGGCAUUAUUAACCCUAUUUUGCAUGUAUAAAAAAAAUGGAUGUAAGAAGAAAACCGUCCUUUUUACUUUAUUGUUAUUUAAAAAACAAUUUUGACUUUUAUUUUAGAUUCAGAAGGUACAUGUGCAGGUUUUUUACAUGGGUAUGUUGCAGGAUGCUGAAGUUUUGGACCAUUAGGCCCCAAACCCAUCACCCAGGUAGUGAGUAUAGUACUCAAUAGGUAGUUUUAAAGUCCAUCCUUUCCUCCUUCUUCACUCUGGUGGUCCCCAGUGUCUAUUAUUGCUAUCUUUAUGUCCAUGAGUGCCUAAUACUUAGUUUCCACUUAUAAGUGAGAACAUGAGGCAUUUGGUUUUCUGUUCCUGCAUUAAUUCACUUAGAAUAAUGGCCUCCAGAUGCAUCCAUGUUGCCACAAACAACAUGAUUUCAUUCCUUUUUAUGGCUGCCUAGUAUUCCAUGGUGUAUAUCUACCACACUUUCUUUAUCCUAUCUACCACUGAUGGGCACCUAGGUUGAUUGUAUGUCUUUGCUAUUGUGAAUGGUGCUGUGAUAAGCAUACGUGUGUCUUUUGGGUAGAACAUGGAUUUUUCUACAAAAGAAAUUUAAAAACUUGCUCAGAAACUAGAAGUUAAGUCUGACUUUCACAUUCUUUAUGCUAUUCCACCAUGUUCACCCUUGCCUGAUAACAUUGUUGUGCAUUACCCCUCUCUUCUUCAUUGUAAAUUGGUUUCAAAUUUGGAGGUUCUAAUUCCUUGGUAGUAGCUUCCUACAGUGCUAUUUUGAAGGCACACUGGUUUCGGUGGGAGAGAUAUACAGAUUAGCUAGAUAGAUUAGUGAUGUCUGCAGUGGAGAUGGGGUCAGAGAAGAACAACAUGCAUGGCUAGUAUUCCCUAGUCUUUGUCCAGCCUCAAACGAUGAUGUCUCUACUGACGGUAUCAUGUCACAGGUUGUUAUGAAGACUUGGUGAGGAAGUACAUGAUCAAUUGUUAUUUGGAAGAUGGUUCCAGAAGAAUGACAGAAGUGAAUGAAGAGGAUAUUCCUGGCUGGAAAACUUGAUAAAAUUGUUGAAAAGGGAGUUGAGUAAUUUAUUUGUCUUUGGUUACCCUAUUAGUGAAAACAGCUAAUGAAGUCUCCCCAGAUAACUCAACAUUUUACUUAAUUUCAUCUCUAAGAAAACACUUUUAACCUGCCUCUGGAAAAAAAUAUGUUUGCUCAUAAAUAACAUUCUUGAAGCCAUUUGCCUCCGGUAAACUCUCAAAUUUUUUUGCCAAAGAAUUCUUACUAAAUCAGGAUUUUCUUGCUGGUCCUCCAGUAACUGGGAGGAGCCACUGGGAUGCCGUGCUUGUUGGCUGCUUCUGGCCUUGGCUUCCUGUUCUCCACAGCAGAGGGGAGGAAAUCCGCAGGAUGCCUGCUACCAGGGGACAGGGUGACUCAGGAGGAAAGACUCCACCUAAAAUAGUCGUGGUAUGCAGUCUCUGAGUCACUUCACUUUGAAAUCAGUUAAUAUAAGAUCCUGGAAUUAGCCCCACAGGUGACGGGAAGUGGGGAAGAAGGAAAUAUCUGAAAAAAAGUUUAUCCAAAAGAGAAAUUGUCCAUGAAUAUGACUUUUUAACAGCAGAAAAGGCUAAUAUUCAGGGAGAAAUUUCACCUUGAGAGUUUAAAGUAGAUAAACUGUGAUUUCUUCCAUGGAGCAUGGGCAUAAAGCACUGGUCUGGGUCCAAUUUAGGGACCCACUGGGAAUGAAUGUUUGCUUAAAAACACAUUAGACAAGCAGCAGCAGGGCAGCUGUGUAAACAGAAGUGUGCUGUUUUGAUGCAGUUUUCCUGACUGUUGUGUUUAUAAUCCUUUCUCUAGAAUUAUCUGGCCAAAAUGUCCAUAGUGCCAAUAAAUUCCAGGUUUAUCUCUAACUAAUGAUAAACAUUAAGCUCUUUCCCUACUGAGACAGGGAGAAGAGUAUUCCUGUUUCUAUUCAAAGUUCCCCAAAGCAGCUUUCUGUAUUUGAAAUGUCCUCUCAGACCAUUGUUGAACCUCCCUUUACUCCCUUCUGACUGGCUCCCAGCCUCCUAGAAUUAAUUUAUUUAUUCAAGCUCUUCAUAGUAGGGGAGGAAGGAACUGUAUUCAGUCAUUUAUUCUUAAAACGUGUAUUGAACAUUUACAUGAUGACACAUGAUGACUGAGGCAAAGAACACCCAUUCCUUCAAAAUGCUCAGAGUCUAGUUGAGGAAAUAAAAAAGUUAAACAACAAAUUCGUAAUACAAAAUGUUGAAUAUCCAGUAGAUUUAACCAUAGGCUUUUUGAAAGACACAGGAACCUUGAAUGGAGCUGGAGUUCAAGUGAGAUUUCUUGGAAGUCUGGAGGACAAAACUGAGUCUUCAAGGUUAAGAUGCAAGUAUCUAGGUAAACUGAGCCUCAAUCAAAGCUAAAUGUUGCCAGGUGUGGUGGCUCAUUCCUGUAAUCUCAACACUUCAGGAGACUGAGGCAGGAGGAUCACUUGAGCCCAGGAGUUAGAGACCAGCCUGAACAACAUAGCAAGACCUCGUCUCUGCAUAAAAUUUUUUAAAAAUUAGCCAGGCAUGGUGGCACAUGUCUGUAGUCCCAACUAUUUGGGAGGCUGAGGUGAGAAGAUCGCUUGAGCCUGGGAGAAUGAGGCUGCAGUGAGCCGUGAUUGUGCCACUGUAUUUCAACCAGGGUGACAGAGUGAGAUCCUGUUACAAAAAAAAAAAAGCUAGAUAUUCACUGGUAGAUAAAUGCAGUGUGAAGCUUGAUUGGAUAUUGGUUUGGCAAAACAUGGUGAGACACAUUUUGGGGAUGAUUGGAAAAAUACGAAUGUAUGAAUGUAGACCGUAUUAGACAAUAUUAGAAGGUUGUUAUUAACUUGGAUGUAAUGAUGGUGUUAUGAAGGAGUUGCUCUAAAUUUUUGGAGAUGCAUAUGUCUUCCUCCCUGAAAUGGUUUAGCAAAAGAAUAAGGAGAAGGAGGAGGAAGAGGAGGAGAAGAAUGGUAGAUAGAUAAAUGAAGCAAAUGUGACAAAAUAUUAACAAUUGUUGGACUUAAAUCUGAAUGUUCAUUGUACUAGUUUUUCCACUUUCCUGAAAUUUUUGUAAAAAGUAGUUGCAAAAGAAUACCCUAGUAGACACUCAGUUACAUGCUCAGACUCUAGAAUUGUGAGAAAUAAAUUUUUGUUGUUUGUAAAUUAGUGGGUUUAAAAUAUUUCAUUAUAGCAACUUGAAUGGAGGCAGAGGCUAAUUUGGCACAAAUAUUAUUAACUUUAAAUGUGUAUAACUUUAAAAACUGUAAAGGAUUCUCAAUAAAAAAUUUGUGUUCUAGGAUCACACAGAGUUAAGUUUCUCUGUGUCUAUAUAGGCAUGGGCAUGCCUGUCUCGAAGCACUUCCUUGGGAUAUAUUUUUCAUUGAUUUUAUAUGUUCUUUAAACAAUUAAAAUGUAUAAAAAUGAUUUCUUAAUUCUAAUCAAUAAAAAAUACUAGACAUCCAUCUUUUAUAAAUGAGGAACACCUAUAAUAUGGUGGUGGCACUGAACGCGGAGAUAAUUUAAGAGUAGAAUCUUUUCCAGGAAUAAUUUUUCAGAUAAGAUAUGUUUGCACAUGGGCAUACAAACCUAUCAAAUAAGAAUUCUACUGUGGAAAGAAAGGACUGGAAAUCUAUCUCUCCAUCCAUAGAAAACUGGUGAAAUAGAUUAUGGAAUUAUUUAUGCAAUGAAUUACUAUACGAUUGUUAAAAAUGAGAUAAAUAUAUUUUUGCUGAUAUGCAAUGAUGGCUAAGUUUAAAAACAAACAAACAAACAUGUGACUGGGCACAGUGGCUGACACCUGUAAUCCUAGCACUUUGGGAGACCAAAGCGGGAGGAUCACUUGAGUCCAAAAGUUUGAGACCAGCCUGGGCAACAUAACCAGACCCUGACUCUACAAAAGAUUUAAAAAUUAGCUGUCCAUGGUGGCACACACCUGUAGUCCCAGCUACUCAGAAGACUGAGGCAAGAGGAUGGCUUGAGCCCAGGAGUUCGAGGUUAUAAUGACAAAAAGAGACUCUAUUUUCAAAAAAAAGAAAAAGACUGUAUAUAAAGUGUUCCCAUUACAUAACAAAAGCAUGUGUAUACACACAUACACUUGCAUAAGCAUAAAAGAUCUCUGGAAGACUACAACAGGAAGCUGCUGCAUUAGUCAGGAGCCAUUCAGGGGACAGAAACCACAAGUAAUUUGAAUACAGAAGGUUUAAUAUGAAGAAUGAUUAUUUACAGGGAAUUACUAAAGAGGAACACUAAGAGAACUCUGAAGAAUACCUUUGGGCUGACAAAGAGUACCCGAGGAAGAAAUGAGCUUGGAAGGGGUGCCCCUCAAGGUUGGAUCCAGACUUCCUGGGAGAGGGUGCAGCCCUCUGGGUGUGCAUUUUGCUGGAUUGCUCCAGGUCAGAGCUGAUCCACAGUUGACAGGUUGGGAGUCAUAAGCCAGGGCUGGCAAGGUGGAAAUUCCCCCAGUGGGAAACCAGCAGGCUGAGGCUGGCAGGCAAGAAAUCAAUGGCUGAGGGGUGCUGACAAAAUUCAUGGGGAAACUGCCCAUGGGGAGUGCUGUUGAACUUGUGGGAAACUGGUUGGGCCAUGGUGGGGACACACUGGAAAGCUUCCAGGAUGCUGCUGCAGGACCAUUGAGGAACUGGCCACAGGGAAACCAGCUGGGGCACCCAUGAAACUUGUUGGCGUGAGCUCCAUCACUGCGUCGCUCACAUACCAGCCCAGCACCACAGAAGCAAGAGCAGAAAGUCUACAAGAAUCAGGAAGGAAGAUAAUCCCCUUUUUCUUCCAGAGUCCCUCCAGGUCUUCUACUGGCAAAACUUAACACUGUGUCAGCUGGCAAAGGAAAGAUGUUUCAGUAUCUCAAGCAGAGAAAGGAAGGGUGCAUUUGGCACAGAAAGGCAAUAGGUUCAUAAAUGCCACAGCUGGUAACAGUCGUAUCUAGGGAGAAAAACUGGAUGAGGAGGCUCAGAUGUGAGACAGAAACUUACUUUUCACUGUAAAUCUUUGUACUGCUUGAUUUGUGGGAAAAACAUUGAGAAAUUUCCUUACUGCAUCAAGUAUGAGUUUCAUACUUCAGAAUAAUAAUGAUGCUGCUGAUAGUAAAUGACAGCCAUUGUUAAAUGCUUUUGCUAUAUUAACUUACCAAAUCUUCUUUGUGAGUUACGACUAUUAGACCUAAUUUUUACGCAGGAAGAAAUCGAGGCACAAAGAGGUGAAAUAACUUGCCAAAGCUUCGCUAGCAAGCGGCUGAGCUAUAACUAUGAUAAUCUGGCUGCAGAAUCUGUGCUCUUGACCACUACACUGUACUAAUUUACUGUAUCUAUCAGGGUUUACUGCGACAUAAAACACAACAAAUGAAUGGAGUGAUAGUCAUUAACACUAUUCAUCAGAUAUCUCCAAAUCAUUGACUCCCCCUAGGGGUGAAUUGGGUCAUGUGAUUAAUGAGCUGUAUGUUGUCAUUUCCAGUCAAGCAUUUUAAUUGCGAGAGACUCUCCAUGGCUGGUUUUUUUGUCUUGCAUGGAGAAUGGCAAUGUUAGAGAUGACUCUACAAUUGUAGUAUGAUGAACAGACUUUCUAUAUUGACUGUAAUGGGCAUAUCACAUGAGAAAGAAGUAAACCUCUGAUUUUCUAAGCCCUUGCUAUUUUGAUGCUGCUGCUUACUGAAGCAUAAUCUAGCUCAUUUUACCGAUAUAAAUGAUGUGUUCCUGAUUAGAGUUAAAGAGAAAAACACAUGUUUUUAAAAAUUCCAAAAGAGUAAAUAUAGUACUUUAUUCUAAAAUGUUUCUCCUAAAAAUUUUGAACUUAGAAAAACUGAAGGAAUACAAUGAUCACUGUUUAUCUUUCAACUAGAUUCAUCAAUUGCUCAUUUUUUAUCCUCUUUAUCUUUCUCACAUAAUUUCUUUCUGAACCAUUUGAAAGUUGGAGACAUCAUGAAACUUCACUGAAAAAAACUUCAUAAGCACCUUCUAAGACCAAGAACAUUCUUCUGCUUGACCACAUUGAAAAUGGAAAAUGUUGAUUCCUUAUUGAAUUAGCAUAUUUUAAAAUUCUACAAUAUACAUAAAAUAGCUUUAGAAUACCCAUAUAACUAUAAAUUAUACAUCUAUGAAGUAAAGUUUAGAUUUCUUGUGGUCCCUUUUUUUUUUUCUUUAGACUAUAAAGACACUAAGCAUGUAUCAUCAGGGUAUUGUGUUUGGUAUGGAAAAGAGUAAUUCAAGUAACCUUUGGGUUUAGUUUUACUUUUCAGAUAUUAAAAAUGGAAUCUCAUUAUGUUGCCCAGGCUGGUCUCAAAUUCCUGGUCUCGAGUAAUCCUCCCUUCUCAGCCUCCUGAGUAGCUGGGACUACAGGCAUGAGCCACCAUGUCCAGCUCUCAAGUAACUUUGAAAACCGUACUCUGUGUGUUCUUAGUAAGAUGUGUUCUAAGGACAAAAGGGUCUUGCAAAGAAAUCUUGAUAAUAAUUUGAUAUAGGCAUUAAUUUGUUUUCUUUUAUAUUCUCCUUUAGGGUUUGCUUUUUAAAAUCUUUUAAUUAGAUGAAUCUCUUUUACUUGGUUCGACAGUCAGAACAAUAUAAAAAGGUGUAUUUAAAGAAGUGCCACUCCCAUCCUUUGCUUCCAUUCUGUUCCCACCCUCCUCCAUAAGUAGAUAUUUUCAUUAGUCUCUGUUUUAUCCCUUUUGUUUGUUUCUUUUUUUUUUUUUUUUUUUUUUUGCAAAAUCACACACACACACACACACACACACAACACACACACACAUUUCUCCUUAUUUUCCACACGGUAGUGUCCUAUAUAUGUUCUCUUUUUUUUUCACUUAAUACCAUUUCCUAGAAGUCACUGCAUAUUAGUUUAUAGAAAUCUUGUUGUUGGCCAGGUGUGGUGGCUCAUGCCUGUAAUCCCAGCACUUUGGGAGGCCAAGGCAGGUGGAUUACUUGAGGUCAGGAGUUCAAGACCAGCCUGGCCAACAUGGUGAAAUCCCGUCUCUUCUAAAAUACAAAAAUUAGCCGGAUGUGGUGGCAUGCGCCUGUAAUCCCAGCUGCUUGGGAGGCUGAGGCAGGAGAAUGGCUUGAACCCUGGAGGCGGAGGUUGCAGUGAGCCGAGAUUGCGCCACUGCACUCCAGCCUGGGCAAUAGAGUGAAACUCUGUCUCAAAAAAAAAAAAAAAAAAUUGUUGUUAUUGUUAUUAUGUCUGCAUAGUACUCCCUCAUGUAGGUGUGCCACAGUUUAAUUUAUUAGUGGCAGCUUGGGUUGUUUCCAGUAUUUUACUGUUAUAAAUGAUAUUGUGAUGAAAAACUUUGUAUGCGUGUUCUUUCAUAUUUGUGGAGAUGUACCUUCAAGGUAGUUUCCCAGAAGUGCAUUUUCUGGGUGGAAAGGUAAAUAACAUAAUCAUAAUUGUUAGGUAUUUCCCAGUUUCCUCCAUCAGGGGUUGUAUCAUUCUGCAUUUCCACCAGCAUUGUAUGACAGUGCUUGGAUCCCCCCAGCCUCAACCAACGAAGUGUGUUCUCAAGUGUUUGAAUUAUUGCCAGUCUAAUAAAUAAGAAAUUAUAUCUCUAUGUACUUUUAAUUUACAUUUUUCUUAUUAUCAGUAAAGUUGAACAUCUUUUUAUAUGGUUAAGGGCCAUUUAUUUAUCUCUUUCUAUGAACUGUUUACGAUUGUGUCAAUUUUUCCAUCAGGUUUUUAAAUUUUAUUCUUUUUGAUUUUUAGCCACUCUUUAUAUAUUAAAGAGAUUAGUCCUUUGCAAUAUGUUACAAGUAUUUUUACUAGUAUUUAUUUGUCUUUGACUUUGCUUAUGAUGUCUUAUGCCUUGCCAAAAAAAAAAAAAAACCCUUUAUUUUCAUGUAGUCAAAUUUAUCAAGAUUUUCUAUUAUUGCUUUGGGAUCUCAUUUUAUAGCUUUGAAAAUAAUUAUCUCCAAAUCCAGUUAUAAAAAUUUAUUCAUGCUUUCUUCUAGUACUUUUUUGCUUUACCUUUUUUUUUUUACAUUUAGAUUGCUGAUCCACUGAAAUUUAUUCUGGUAUAUGCUGUGAGAUAGGGAUCUGAAUUUAUCUUUUUGAAAUGUCUAUUGUAGUUAUCACUACACCAUUUUUAAAAGUUAUUAUUUUCUUUAGUGAUCAUUGUUGUUAUUUACUAAUUUUUAUAUGUCAAAAACAAAAUCAGAUCAAGUUAGAAAAUUUUAAAGAAUGUAUUGUACUUACAAAAGAACAGUUUUCCAACCAGGAGACUUUGAAUAAAUGUAAGAAGGUAAUAAUGGUAAGAAGCUCACCUUACAGCAGUUAUAGCACAGUGUAUAAAGCAUAAAAGAGAAAUUAUUUGGACCUUUUUCGUGAUUGGCUAUUAUACAUUAACAUUCUUUUUAGGACAAAUAGUGCUAUUCAAGCUAAUUUAUCUAUAGCUGAUUGGCUUAAUUUCACUGAAUUAUACUGGCAAGGACAUAAAGUUAUGUUUUGUGUUUUAUUUAUGAUUAGAAAUUAGCAUUUCAGAAAAUCGAGAUGAAUAAAGUUUUGGUUAUAUGGUUAAAGAUGGUUAGCCUUGGGGUAUAUCUAAACUGUAGCCUCCAUUUGUAUUUUUCUUUAACACGUAAAUACUUGGGUCUAUUUGGAAAUGUCUAGUCUGUUCCAUUUUUCUGUCUCUCUAUUCAUGCUGUAUACUUUUUAAUCAUAUGCAAGUGUUACUCUCCUAUUUCUCUUGAAACAUAAUUAUAAGGAAAAAGUGCUGUGCCCAUGGGACUUGGUGACUAAUUGAAUGUGGAGUUUGGAAUAGAGGAAAGUGUCCAGGCUAACCCCCAUACUUCUUUCCCAGAUGACUGGGUUGGAAAGUAAGGCUGUUGGCCAAGAUAUGGCAUGGAGACAGUAUAAGGGGAGAGUAUUAACAAAGGAUGGAAACUUUGUAUUGCACUAGGAGUAUGCCUGUGAAGAGGAAACCAGAAAGAGGACUGAGAACAAAGAGUUAAAGAGAUGUGUAUUCGUUUUGUUACCUACCAUGGGGGUCUUGGGCUCUCAAUGCAAUAAAAAUUGAGGCCAAGUUUGGUGGCUCAUGCUUGUAGUCCUAGCACUUUGGGAGGCUGAGGCAGGAGGAUCCCUCGAGGCCAAGAGUUUGAAACCAGCCUGGACAGGAUAGUGAGACUCUGUCUCUUAAAGAAAAAGAAAAAGAAAUUGACAUGAGAUCAAAAGAGUUUUCUCAGACAAGGUUCAAGCGUAAGGGAGGUAGCACAAGAAAGAGAUUCUCUGGCUGGCCUCCUCGGUAGGUGAUAGAAAGGUAGUUUUAAAGGAGUGAGGUUUAGGCAUGCAGAGGCAGGGAACUUUUAGCACCUGCACAGUUUGAUUUCUUGCUCCUUCAAAUAUCACACGUCUUAUUAGCAUAUUAACUCUCUACCUCUGGAUGUGAUUUUUAGUAUUCUAAUGAAGCUAACGUUAAGGAUUGGUCACUCUCCCGGCCUUGUACGCAUGCGGGAGAUAGGGUUAACUUCCUUGAGUAAGAUUUGUGGUGGGAGCUGCUUAUUUCAGCUUCCUUAAGGUCCUGCAAUCAGUGGGUAUAGCACCUUGAGCAAGAUUUAUAGUGCAAGGUCUGGAUGGUCUGGUUGGGGUCUGGUCCAUGCUUGCCCCCAACAGCUUGCAGUAGAGGUCCUUGGUUGUCACAGGGCAAGUAGGCAGUGAGUUCAUUUCAGAUCUGUCGCAGCCUCUUAUAGCUGGCAUAACAAAUUACCACAAACUAGGUGGCUUAAAACAAAAGAAUUGUCUGUAUUGUAUUGUCUCCCAGUUCAGGUGACUAAAGGUCUGAAAUUAAGCUGCUGGCAGGGUUGGUUUCUUCUGGAAGUUCUGAGAGACAAUCUGUUCCAUGCCCAUGUCCUAGCUUUGGUGGUUGCCAGCAAUCCUUGAUGUUCCUUAGUUAAGCAGCAACACUUCAUCUCUGCACUUUGCACAGAGUAGAUUCUUUAUAACUGUUUGCUGAAUGAAUGAACUAAUGAAUGUAUUUUAAAGUAAAUGACAAUACAAAGCAUAUUAUUCUAUAAAUUGCUUUUUUGUUGUUGUCAUAAUUUCCUUUUUUUUCCUCUUAACAGUAAAUUAAUUUACCUGGUAACCUCUCAUACAGAUUUAUAUAGCAAUAUUUGAAACUCUUCUCUAACCACUCCUGGACUCCUGGAGUGAGGACUCUCAAAUUGGGUAUUUUAGUGUUAAUUUCUCACCACUAAGAUGUAGAUUAAUUUAAAGUCCCAUAUGGUCUGUUUAUACUGAUGCAUCUUGGAGUAAAUUACAGAUGAUAUAAAACUGAGUUAAAAAGUAUAUUUUAUUUAGCACUUAUAUGGUGCUUACUAUUUUCCAGCUACUGUUUUAAGUGUUCUACCAAUACUAGCUCAUUUAAUCCUCACAACAAUCCAAUGAAGUGGGUACCAUUACUAUCUUCAGGAAAUUAAGGCACAGCGAGGUGAAAUUACUUGCCUGCAUUCAUACUGCUGGUAAGAGUUAAGCUGAGAUUCAAACUGAGUAAUGUGGCUUUGCACGGAGUCUAUGCUCUAGGCUGUCUCUUGAGAAAGUGCCUUUAACGUUUUGUUAGGUUGGCAGUUGCCUUUUUCUGCGAUGUGGGUUGAAGAGAUCAGCCUGCAUGUUUCUCCUGUGAUCCCCAUCUACAAGCACCACACCUGCAUCCAGCUGCUCACAACACACACAACUCUGUAAGAACACACAAUCAUGUACACACACACACUAGGCAGUCCAAAUCAGAGAACAAGAAGCCAUUUUCCAAAGUCACCACAACACAGAAGGCAUCUUUCUGCUUAAAAAGCAUCCUUCCACCCCCAAAUUGACAUGACUAAUUAAAAUCCUUAAUUCGAAUUCUGGUUACUUUUUAUCUUUCUCUAUAAAAUUUCAUGAAUUUUGGUGCUCUAUAUUUGCAUAACAAAAAAUAUAGUAAUUAUUUUUCCAUAACAAAGGAAUCAUUAGGCAGAGCCUGCUGGGUAAAUGGGUGUUUUUAGAUGAAUUUUAGAUUUGUCAUGAUAGGUCAUUGAUUAGGAUAGAAAAUAGAGCGCACUGCAGUAUUGUUUUUGUGAAACCCUGUAUACAGAUUUUCUGUUUUAUAUAUAACAAUUCCCUAAACAAGGUAAUUCUGUAUACAAGAUUUUAUAUGCCUGAAUUAACACAGCUCUGCUACAAGGUGGUAGAAAAGUUAGCACUGGACAGCAAAAGCUAUGACUUAUGAAACAGCAGUUUUUACAGUUUCAGAAAGUAUAAUGUCUAAUCUCCACUGGGUACUUAAUUCCAUUCAUAUAUCAUGGUUUACAAUGUACUUUACUGACACAGUCUCAUGGACCUAAUAACUACUCUGCUAGGUUGUAGGAAGGACACUGUCAUCUCCAUUAACACGCAAAGAGAUAAGAAAGCCAAGAUGGGAGAGGUGGGAGAGGCAGUCUCUUGGCUGUGCUAGGAUGGAGCUGCCCCUGGAAUCCACCUUUCUAGGCAUUCCACAGUUGCUGGUUGAGGAACCUGCCCUGGUACUGAUAGGGUCACAAAAGCCUCAAGGGGUUAACAGGAUGGGAGAUACAGUUAAUUUUGAGCACCAGUUGGUAGAGGUGACUCCCUUUCCCAAUGGUGUUUCCAAGAUCACUUCUAGCUCAGAAUGUGGGUGUAUAAGGGGAAAGUUCUCAUCAGCAACUGCUCUGGUUGCCUGUGACCCAAGCGUAGAUCUGCUCAACCUCCAUAGUCAGUUAAACCAGUGGGUCCCAACCCUGGCUGCACAUUAACUCCUGAUUAAAAAUCCUAAACCCCAAAGCGUACUGCAGACCAAUUGUAUCACACUAUUUGGGGUUGAGGUCUGGGCGACAGUAUUUUUAAAACUCCCCAGGUGAUAGUAUUUGUAAAACUCCCCAGGUGAUAGUAUUUUUAAAACUCCCCAGGUGAUUUUAAUGUGUAGCUGAGGUCAAGAUUCAUAGAAUUAGAGAAAUAUGGUGUUCAGUUAAGUUCAGCCUAAAGCUGCCUGCUUACAUAUUUUAAAUCUGGCCUAAAGUUUUCUCCAUACAUAAUGAACUAUUACCUAACUGGAUGUCUAAACAGGCUGUUACCUACUCUUUUACUCUUUUACCAGUCACUGAGUUUUGGCCACUAAAGGUGGCCAACUAUUCAAACCAUGUUCAAAUAAUGCAAAUGCCAAGCUGUAACCAAGCCAACUAUUUCUGUUCAUCACUUCUGUUUUCUGUAUGCCACUUUCCUUUUUCUGUCCAUAAAUUUUCUUCCAUCACACGACAGUGCCAGAGUCUCUCUGAACCUAUUUUGGUUCAGGAGGCUGCCCAAUUCGUGAAUCCUUUUUUGCUCAAUUAAACUCUGUUAAAUUUAAAUUGUCUAAAUUUUUGUAAAGAGAUAGGGUCUCACUCUAUCACCCAGGGUGAAGUACAGUGGCAUGAUCAUAGGUCACUGCAGCCUCAAACUUCUGGGCUCAAGCCUCCUGCCUCAGCCUCCUAAGUAUCUGGGACUACAGGUGUGGGCCACUAUACUUGGCUAUUUUUUUUUUAUUUUUUAAAGAUGGGGUCUUGAUAUGUUGACCAAGCUUGUCUCAAACUCUUGGCCUUAAGUGGUCCUCCCACCUCAGCCUCCUGGGUUGAUGGGACUAAAGGCAUAAGCCACUGUGCCCAGCUAGAAAGUUUUUCUUUUAACAAUGGUGAAUCUCAUCUGGUCUAAACCUGUAGCUCUUUAUUAAAUGGAUUCAACUCUUGAUUUGAACAUAAGAAAAAUGCAUCGAUGAUCUGAUUGAUCUACAAAUUUUUGUUUCAAUUUCAUGAGUAUAAUAAAGCUCAAUUUAUAAAGCAAUCCUGCUCAGUAUUUCACUUUGCCAGUAUUAUCUAAUUUAAACCUCUUUUAAGGUAGAUGUAUAUUCUUUCUAAAUCACAGAUGAGAAGGCUGAGGCACAUAGGGUGAUGUGCUCAGAUCACACAUUUAGUAAAUGUGGAACUGGGAUUCAAAACCAAGUAUCCUUGACUCCAACACCUGACAAUUUCUGAGCAGCAUUCCCUCCCAUGUAAAUUAUUGAUUUCAUGAACUGGUUCUACUUUUGGUUUUCGGUAUUUGUACAUGCCUUUAUGUCUCUCAAAGUUAGUGGCAGCAACUGAAAUUAGCUCGGAUCUUCCUCCUCUCUGCUCCUAAAACUGUCCUGUGCUUCUCUCCAGCCAAGUAGAUUCCUUGAGUGGAGAGGUUGUGUUCUGGUCUAUACUGCUGUCUGUUCCAUGCCCAGAACAAUGCCUGACACUUACUGGGGCUAACACUCUAAACCACAUGAACUAUAGACAUUGACUAAUUCACACAGUCAUAUUCCUAUAUAUUAAAAAAUGCCAUAAGAAACAGACUGCGGUGUUCAACUAGAAAUAAAAUCAAACAUUCCAACUAUAAGACCAUAGUGAGUGGCAUGAAUAACUUUCCCAGGAGAUUCUUUAAAAAUUAAACAGUUCCAUAUAAAAUUGUAGACAUUUCAACUGAAAGAUACGUUAGAGAAAAACCUAAUAAUUCAGUGUAGUGUUAUUUGAAAUUCAAAAAUUGGGUCAUCCCACUCUUCCCUCUUCCUUUUUAAAAACAACAACAACAAUAACAAAAAAACAAGUUUGCAUACCAUGAAGUGAAACAAGAAAUGAAAUGAAGCUGUGUUCAGUGGCCUGGAGUGUGAUGCUCAAGGGCUCCCAAGAACUUGCAAAAGUCAAUAUUAUGUAGUUAUGAAUUUUCAGAAAUAUAAGUAAAGUCAACUUGUAACGUUUGAUUUAACCAAUAGGAACUGCUCCAACAACUCAAUGUAUCAACUCUGAAAACAAAUUACUGUAUCCCCUGCCUACCCUAGUAUUUAGAAGGUCAGUGCCUCCCUCCUGAAGUGUACCUCUCAACGGCCCAAGUUUGGGUUUAGGCUAGCCAGGCAUCUUCAACCCAAGGGGAGAGAUCAUUGGUCAGGGCUGUCUUUACUGCUCUAGACCACACGGUGUCACUGUUGAAGACCAGUUGGUUCACCAAACAUCUCUGCUGUGAGGAGCCGGGGGUGGGGCGGUGGUGCCAGUCCCUGCUGGGGCCACAUGGCCCUUUUUGGAGGACAAUGGCCUCCCACAACAUGUAGCUCUGCCCGGGGCCCCAGUGUGGCAGCCCUUUAAAUUCAUAAAAUCAGUUUACGUACACCGGAGCUGGCCCCAGAAGCUUUGAGUCAAAUGGAUUCCACUGUUUACAGAACUGCCUCCCAUUGUUUCUUUCUAAUCAUGGCCAAGGGAUAGGUGGCAGUGUUAUUUCCAACACAACUCUGCAACUCAGAAAACAUAAAGGGUCUCUCUAAUACCACCUUUUUCUAGACAAUCUAGGUUACUCACCCUUUACUUACCUCUCUUCUGUGGUUUAAAUGAUAUGUAUCCCCUUAAGAAAAAACUCCUCCUGGGAGUUCAUAAGGCUAUUUUUCAUCCUGGCCCAUAAGAAAAAGUUGCUUGCACUUCUCUUACUAAAAACUGAAGAGCCACAAGAGAAAAUUAGCUUCUCUUACAGGGCUAAGAUAAAAUAAUACCAAAUAUAUUUUCAUUCAUUUUUAUAUUUUAGUAAAGUUAUAGAUCUGUGAUAUAAUACCUUUGUGAUUUUAAAUAUAUCUAAUCCCUCAGGGGUAUUUUAUCCUUUUAUUUUCCCCACCCUCAGACCUGCCCACAUUUCCACCAUACUCUGCUUAAAUAUUGUCUGGCCUAAUGCCAUGUUUAUUGAGAAGGAAGUGAACUUGAUCAAGUCAGGGGCAAAUGUGAGACUGAGGGCCCUGACUACUAGUACUUGCUCUUUCCACAGCAUGAUCCUGUGUCUCCAUUUCUGGAGGUAUUAUUAGGUUUGGAAGGCUGAAGAAUUACGUACAGACUGGAUGGAAGCUGGAAGUGAGUCGAGUGUGUUGAGUUCUACGAUGGCCAGUCUCCAAGGUGGUUCCCAGUGAUCCCUGCCUCCUGUGUAGUCCCUUCCCAUCUUGUACUAUUGUUGCCCAGUGUGACCAAUAGGAUAUGAAAGAAGGAAUAAUAGGUAACUUCCAAGAUUAGGUAUAAAAGACUGCAGCUUCCAUCUUGGGCUCUCUUUCUCAUCACUCACUGUAGAAGAAGCCAGUUGCCUUAUUGUAAGAAGCUCUGUGGAGAGGCUCACAGUGUGGAGAACUGAAGCCUUCUACCAACAGCUGUGUGGGUGAUUUUGGAAGUGGAUCCUCCACUAGCAAGCCGUAGAUGACAGCAGACCCAGCUGACACCUUGACUGUAACCUCUUCAGAGACCCUGAGGCAGAACCUGAGCUAAUCUGCUCCUGGAUUCCUGGCCCGCAGAAACUAUUAGGAAACUGAGGCUCAGAGAGAAAAAGUGACUUGUCCAAGAUGAGCAACCACGACCCAAACAAAAGAUUCUUGAGUGAAGCCCAGCACCCUGUUUCUUCAGUUAUUCAAAUCAUAUGGUUGCUCAGCUACUUAAAGCUACUUUCUAUGUACUUCACAGUUGUUAUUUAAUUCCCUGUGACAUUAAGAACACAGUUGUCAUUUAAUUCUCUGUGACAUUAAAGAGAGACUAAUUUCCAAAGAAAAAAAAUUAAUAUUCACAAAGCCAAAUGGGAGAAAAAAAUGCCUACUUCUGGUCUAUGGGAACUGCUUAGUUUGCUGUACCUUCAAACCUGUUUCUGAGUGUUGCCAAUGGAAGAGUGGAAGAUGGGGAAACAUGGAAAGGGUGGUGGUUAAGGAGGGCCCAGGGAGCCUCUGCAGCCCUCCUUAUUCUUUUUCUCUGUACCUGAGCCCAGUUCUCCCACCUGGCAUGGCUCUACAACCAUGAAACCCUGAUGCCCUCACAUGCAUAAGAAGCCCUGACAAAGUGGAUGUGGAUAUUUCUCUCACUCUGCAAAAUGAGACUCACGAUGACCUGCAAUGUGAUGCUUCUUUGGGCCAAAAAAAAAAAAAAAAAAAAAAAAAACACAAAAAACCACCCAAUUGCUUUCAGGUUGCCUGACUCACAGGGCACCUUGAUGCUCUGGCCAGGGACACUGAAGACUGAAUCACCUAGCUUGCCUUUGCAGAAACUAUUUACUAAUAUGUCAUUUCAUUUCUGUCUUUUUCCAACCUUAAGCUUUAUGUGCCCCUCAUCCACAGCAUGUCCUUGCCGCCCAUGCCUCUACUCCCAUGCAUAAAAGGAGGCGUAGGCAAAUGUACAUGGAAGUCUCUUUUCAACCUCUGCAGGGGAUUGUAGGUGAAAUAUACUAUUGCCCACACUUAUGUACAAGGAUACCCUAUGAUAAGCAUUACUGGGAUUAAGAAAUAUUGAGCGGUAUUUCUAUCUCUGAAAUUCUAUUGUCUCUCCCACUUAGAGAAGACUAUUACAAGUCAGCUACGAUAGGACUUUUUUUCUCCAAAGUUGUGACAUUGGAAAUCAGGACUCCCCUUACAAACCCAGGUAGCUGAUUUGUUUAAAGGACACAUAGUAUUUUCCUAGAGAAUUGGAGCAAGAACAACAGGGUAGAAGCCCUGCAGACCUGUUUGAGUGCAGAAGACACGGACAAAGCAUAUCCGUGUUCCCAUCCACUGAACAGGCAGCAGCUAAUAAUGUAAUGAAUUCUCUUCUGUCAUCCUAAGCUUUUGGUUGUCGUUGAAGUACUCUUCUGAACUCCACCUAUUAUCAUUUAAUGAGUGUUUGCUAUGUUUCCAGCUCUGUGCUUUUUUUUACAUCUGCUAUUCAUUCUCUUUCCAAAGCUGUAGCCCCACGGUCUCAUAGUUAAAUAAUUCAGAUGUUUUGAGUUAAAUAGGUUUUUACAACAAGACUUUUCAGAGCUAGUGGAAGGUCCAUGUGUGUAGUGAAUCUUUGGGAAGAUUUAUUUGGUAUAUAUUAUUUCCCAGAUUUUUUCAAGGGCGUCUCAUAAGACAUGUUUAGUUCAGAAGAUGCUACUGAGGUCUCAGAGACUGCUAUCUCUUUCUCUGUUAUGAGUUGAGUUGUGUCUUCUUAAAAAAGACAUGUUGAGGUCCAUACACUUUAGAGUGCGACCUUUUUUGGAAAU